rnacentral:rRNA from 1 species
GACGAACGCUGGCGGCGUGCUUAACACAUGCAAGUCGAACGGAAAGGCCCUGCUUUUGUGGGGUGCUCGAGUGGCGAACGGGUGAGUAACACGUGAGUAACCUGCCCUUGACUUUGGGAUAACUUCAGGAAACUGGGGCUAAUACCGGAUAGGAGCUCCUGCUGCAUGGUGGGGGUUGGAAAGUUUCGGCGGUUGGGGAUGGACUCGCGGCUUAUCAGCUUGUUGGUGGGGUAGUGGCUUACCAAGGCUUUGACGGGUAGCCGGCCUGAGAGGGUGACCGGCCACAUUGGGACUGAGAUACGGCCCAGACUCCUACGGGAGGCAGCAGUGGGGAAUAUUGCACAAUGGGCGGAAGCCUGAUGCAGCAACGCCGCGUGCGGGAUGACGGCCUUCGGGUUGUAAACCGCUUUCGCCUGUGACGAAGCGUGAGUGACGGUAAUGGGUAAAGAAGCACCGGCUAACUACGUGCCAGCAGCCGCGGUGAUACGUAGGGUGCGAGCGUUGUCCGGAUUUAUUGGGCGUAAAGGGCUCGUAGGUGGUUGAUCGCGUCGGAAGUGUAAUCUUGGGGCUUAACCCUGAGCGUGCUUUCGAUACGGGUUGACUUGAGGAAGGUAGGGGAGAAUGGAAUUCCUGGUGGAGCGGUGGAAUGCGCAGAUAUCAGGAGGAACACCAGUGGCGAAGGCGGUUCUCUGGGCCUUUCCUGACGCUGAGGAGCGAAAGCGUGGGGAGCGAACAGGCUUAGAUACCCUGGUAGUCCACGCUGUAAACGGUGGGUACUAGGUGUGGGGUCCAUUCCACGGGUUCCGUGCCGUAGCUAACGCUUUAAGUACCCCGCCUGGGGAGUACGGCCGCAAGGCUAAAACUCAAAGGAGUUGACGGGGCCCCGCACAAGCGGCGGAGCAUGCGGAUUAAUUCGAUGCAACGCGUAGAACCUUACCUGGGUUUGACAUGGAUCGGGAGUGCUCAGAGAUGGGUGUGCCUCUUUUGGGGUCGGUUCACAGGUGGUGCAUGGCUGUCGUCAGCUCGUGUCGUGAGAUGUUGGGUUAAGUCCCGCAACGAGCGCAACCCUUGUUCACUGUUGCCAGCACGUUAUGGUGGGGACUCAGUGGAGACCGCCGGGGUCAACUCGGAGGAAGGUGGGGAUGACGUCAAGUCAUCAUGCCCCUUAUGUCCAGGGCUUCACGCAUGCUACAAUGGCUGGUACAGAGAGUGGCGAGCCUGUGAGGGUGAGCGAAUCUCGGAAAGCCGGUCUCAGUUCGGAUUGGGGUCUGCAACUCGACCUCAUGAAGUCGGAGUCGCUAGUAAUCGCAGAUCAGCAACGCUGCGGUGAAUACGUUCCCGGG